rnacentral:rRNA from 2 species
UUUUCGCUCUAAGAUGAGUCCGCGUAAGAUUAGCUCGUUGAACCGUGAGGUAGUGGCUCACCAAGGCGACGAUCUUUAACUGGUCUGAGAGGAUGAUCAGUCACACUGGAACUGAGACACGGUCCAGACUCCUACGGGAGGCAGCAGUAGGGAAUAUUGCACAAUGGAGGAAACUCUGAUGCAGCGACGCCGCGUGAGUGAUGAAGGCCUUCGGGUCGUAAAGCUCUGUCGCAGGGGAAUAACACAAUGAAUGUACCCUGUAAGAAAGGAUCGGCUAACUUCGUGCCAGCAGCCGCGGUAAGACGAGGGAUCCUAGCGUUGUUCGGAAUUAUUGGGCGUAAAGCGGAUGUAGGUGGCUUUGUAAGUCAGAUGUGAAAGCCCAGGGCUCAACCCUGGAAGUGCAUUUGAUACUGCGAAGCUUGAGUGUCGGAGAGGUUACUAGAAUUGUUGGUGUAUUGGAUUCCCGACAAUACGUAGAUAUCAACAGGAAUACCGGAGGCGAAA